GACAGACUGGGAUAACCGUUGGCAGACCAAGAAGUGGACGUCCACGGAUCACAACGCCAGGUGAAGAUAGGUACCUCUGUCAUUAAGGAAAGAGGGUAGCGUUUCUUUUGGCGUUUAGUGAGUACGUUAAAAU